AGAGAUGUUGAGAGAUCAACCAGGAGACUGUGGGAGGAUGUGAGCUCUCUGAGAAGGAGAAGAAGUAUUUACAUUAGAAGUCUGAUUCACAGGUCGGGGCAAAGUGAAAAACAUCUGCACUUUUAAAAGGUCACAGUGUUUGGACACCGCAUGAACAUGCCAAUUUCCUGUGUUGUAAUAUUUUUAUGCACUUUAAGAAGACCACCAGAAACAGCAGAGUGAGUGAAUGACUGAGGCGCAUAUUGGACAAAAAUCACUUAUCCAAGACCACGUUACUACAACCCCAGGGCACAGAAGCUAAGUCUUCCUAUUGUACUGAACUCAGUUGACUGGAAUUUGUUCAGGAAAGCAUGAAGUCAAAUGGAAGCUAGUCCGUGACUGGAUUCAUCUUUUGGUAAAAAACGAAGAGGAGACCCCAUAUCCUGGAGGUUCUUGCUUAACCCUGUCCCUAAUAAGACCUAACUUUAUGAGUCUUCUCCUUAGAGGCAGUCCUAGGGUAAGAGUGAUUAUUCCUGUGAGCCUUGUAGGUACUUUCGAAUCAAGGAAAUUAGUAGUUGAUUGCUAAUUAAUUCAGUAUUUAAUGAAUUUAAGUACCUAGGCAAUGAGGCCACAAUAGCAAAUAAGACACAGACCUGUUUUCAAAAAGUAGCCUGUAAAUAAGAUAUUUUUUUCUGCCAUGGUGGCAAAGGCAUGACUAUGGUGAUGAACAUUCAUAGGCUCACCUUCUAGCUCUGUUGUAUGUUAACUGUGUGAACUUGGGUCAAGUUAUGAAAACUCUAAGAACUCUCAAAACUCCUGAUCUGUUUUAACAUGAAAGUAAAGAUAUCUAAUUGAAUUGUUGUGAAACUUAAAUGUAAUGUGACAUCCAAAGAAUGUAGCCCAAAGUUGGAUUUCAGUAAGUGAUAAAUAGAAGUAUUUAAACAUGGGUAUGGUAUGUUCUGUAACAGAAGAAUGUCUAUGUGCUGGGGAUACCUAGAGACAGUGAAAAUUCUGUCUGGCCUGCGAAUUAUAAUAAAAUGACUCUUUAAAGUCAA
rnacentral:lncRNA from 1 species